GGAUGUGUACUGGUUAACGUAAUGAGUGAUAUCUCUCAGGGAAAAAACCUCUUGACUACAAUGAAGACACAAAUACUGCUGUAAUAACAGUUGAUGGGGAACUAGACACUGUGAAAGACAUUCCAAAUAAUGUGAAAGUGUAUCUCACUACGACGGACACUCCUAAAGGUACUGUGGAUCUGUGGUACCCCAAAGAUGCUCCUAAAGACGUAACAUCGAUUACUGUCACUUACACUGAUGAAACAGGAACUGAAAUUACAAAAGACGUACCAGUGACCAUCGACGGUGAUGUUGUGAAAGUGGAGGUUCCAGAAGGUUCCACCUUUAAGGAAGUUCCAGAGAAGCCGGAUGUUCGGGUAGUGAAGGAGGAAACACCUAAGGAUGGAGUAGUGAAUGUAUAUGGGAAACCAGUUGACAAGGUUAUAAUCACAAACAUUA